rnacentral:lncRNA from 1 species
GGUUAGUGGAAUUCAUGGCUUGGGAAAUUGGUAAAUAGAAUAAGUUUUAAAGGUUGGUUAGGUAAAUUGAAUAAUAAUAGGUUAAAUAAAUAAAACAAAUACAAAAGUAUGGCCAUAUUUGCUUCAUUAUUGCCGAAUAUACAAAGAAAGGAUAGGAGAAAAGAGUUUUAACGGUUCGACACGUUUGGGGCUUGAUUUAGGUAAGUUUUAAGCUCGAUUUUUGAUAAUUUUUACGUUUUUGAGAUCAUUGCUUCGUGUUUUACAAAACCUAUGCUUAAAUUUUAAAAUUUGAUGAUGAUUUCAUGAGAUGCAUUGU